CACUCUCUCUCUCUCAUCCCUAAAAAAACUCUCUCACGAACUCCGCACGAUCUCCUCGGUCCACCCCACCCCGGCUCCUCUCCCCACGAUCUCCUCGCCACCGCCCCCACCCACGCCGGCCGGUUCCGGCGAGCACCGGCCGUGCGCAACACCCAACCUCCUCCUCCUCCCCCUCCCUUCCCCUUCCUCCUCCGCCCGCCCCUUCUCUCUCCUCCUUCCUCCCGGCGGCCGACGAUGGGCGCGGACGAGAAGGAGCACCAGUCCCCCGCGCGGAAGCGCGAGCGCGAGGAGGGGGAGGUGCCCGCGGCCGCCGACGAGAUGCGCCCGCGCACGGUGGACGAGUCGGAGGGCGCCUCGCUGCUGGGGCUCGCCAACUACGCAGACGAGGAGGAGGAGCGCGGGGCCCCGAGGGGGCACGCGAACGGCCGGCCCCGGGAGGAGGAGGAGGAAGACGAUGAGGAUGAGGAGGAGGACGAGAGGAGGGCUCCGGAGAGGCGGCCCAGGCAGGUCGAGCUGCGCCGGGACUGCCCCAACCCGGCAGGUAUACUGUCUUUAGUUGCAAUGGAGCGGGCUACGAUUGUUGGCGAUGCAGUAGUCUCUUACUAGUCACUAAGAUAUCAUUCCAUAAGCUGUAAACAAUCAUAUCCAAAACACAAAUUAUUAUCCCCACUUCUGUCCCUGUUUAUUUUCUUGGAUUUAAACAAUGGAUUGAUCUCUUAGCCACCAAUAUAUCAUUCUGUAAGCUGUAAUCAAUAGUAUCCAAAUGGAAUGGGACCUUUCUUUUAUUUGAAACUUCCAAAUCAAGGGUUUUCCUUGAAAUAUAUUCACGGUGGUGUAAGUGAUUUAGCUUUUGAACAGAAACUUUUACAAGGUUCUGGUUGCUUUGACAGUACAAUAUGUUCUACUGUACAUUAUAUUUCCAUAUCUAUAUAAUUUAGUUUGAGAAAGUAACUUAAGGAGGUGUAUCCCUUUUUUAUAAUUCCUCUACACUACUCAACCGCUAUCUGCCUCUAAUUAUUAUAGUGACAUCACUUAUGGGUGCGACGCUAAAUUCUUGAGAACCUGCUCUAAUCAUCAUAUUUUUCGCUAUCUUAAUUCUUGUAUGCGAUGCCAUGAAUAUAUACUGUUAUAUAUUUUGCUACAUUAGUGUUGUUGCUGCUUCUGUUCAAAUUAUAGUAUAUUGAUCAAAUUAACCUUUUGCUACAUUAGUAUGCGAUGCCAUGAACUUUCCAUCCCUCCGUUCAGGUGUAUUACUGUUUCUGAACUAUCAGGCACAAAGGAUGCCGAGCCUUGUUCAUCUGGUGAUCACUGUAUUGGAAUCUGAAGGAUAUUUAGCCUUGUCAUCAUGAUGGCCGUUGUCUUCCUUUUUCCUGAAUAUUAUGACCAGCUGUUUAAAGCCUGAAACUGAAGCUUGAUCUUACGUAAAAUUGACUACGGCCUAAUUUUUAUGCUGCAGUCAGGCCUUGGAUAGAAAAUAAUCGUGUUAUCCAGGUGACAUUUCACUAUAUUAUUUUAGUUUUGUAAAUGCACAUUCACGGAUUAUAGUAGCGUUUCUGUUUACUGAAUUUCGUUCUGCUGUUUUUUUCCAUAUCGCUCAUUCUGUUGGCAUGUUUACUCAAAUGUGCCUAAUGUGGUGAGAUCCAGCCGUGCGGCGCCUCGGUCUAUCCUGUCGCGGUAGAUCUCGCUGGUGUAGGGUAGAUGUUGACCCGCCGUGGCAAUUCGUAGAUGUAGAGACGCACGGGGAGCACAUGAGCAUGGUUUCAGAUCAGGCUCCUGUGACGAACCCCAUCCGGUCCAGAAGCUUCCAGGUCUAGCGUAUCGGCGUGAACGACGUCUCUUUCAGAAUGCAUAGUUUACCUGCGGACAUCCGGGCUUAUCAUUUGCUGCCUAAUUGGCUAGCUAGCUUCACCCUGCUGCCGAUUCUCUGCUUGGUUCUUCCAAUGUACAUGCAGGUUCAGUGAGUUUGGAACCGAUGGAGGACAACAGCAAAGUCUCUGAAGCCGAAGUUCAACCUCUUUGUCAAGCAGGUGUCCGCCAGCAUUGGGAUGGCAGAGCCACACAUUGAUGUAUGGAUAUUUUCUGGCAGGUCUCCGCCAGCAUUGGGAAUUUGGGAUGGCAGUGCCACACAUUGAUGUAUGGAUACUUUCUGGUCGCUUGCCCCGUUGUACAUCAUUGUUCCCUUUUUAAGGAUCCAUUCACCUAGUUCCUGUUUUUUAUGGCUUUUGUUCUGUUUGUUUACAGAUCAAGUCUGUCAUUGCCUUUACCAUGUUUCUUAAAGCCUUUGGUGGUCUCCUUUUCAUCACCAGCAGCUCGUUCGGAGCGGUCGUACUGGGCAAUGGAUAAAAUCUACUCUGGAUAGUUGACAGAGGGAGUACAUGCUAAGUUGACUUUUUUCCUGCGGAUUUGCUUAUCGUGAAGAUGCUUGCAAGGAUGCAGAGGGAGCGGAUCAUUUGGAGAGAUAGGAUGCCACUGUUUGGUGUUUUUAUGCAUUUUGGUUUGCUUGUAACUGUGUUUGCACUAGCUGGGAGUAACUGACUUGGCAAGAAGUGUAGGUGUUUUAAUUGAAGGCAUGAAAAGCCAUGACAAUAUGUAUGCUCUUACAGGAUGUGCUCUAAUGCCGCUGGUUUAUUAUAAAUCUUGGAUUAGUAA